CGGCGGAACCUUUUUCAACUGUCUCUUCCCCCACCCUUCUAAAUUCUUUCCUAUGUGAAGAAACCUAGAUACAUCAGAAAGACGAGAAGACCCUGUCGAGCUUUAACCACUAGGUGAGUUUACUUAUCCCUUUUUAAAUAUCACCAAAAGGUUUUGGUUGGGGCAACCACGGAGAAAAAAAAUCCUCCAGAUUAAAUAGAAGAAAACCCUUCACUAUUACGCUUUCAAGAACCAGGAACUGGUAAUCGGAAAAAGUUACCGCAGGGAUAACAGCGUUAUCUCCUCUAAGAGUCCUUAUUGACGAGGAGGUUUGCGACCUCGAUGUUGGAUUGGGGCCCCCUUAGGGUGCAGAAGCUCUAAACGGUUAGACUGUUCGUCUAUUAAAGCCCUACGUGAUCUGAGU
rnacentral:rRNA from 1 species